GACGAACGCUGGCGGCGUGCUUAACACAUGCAAGUCGAACGGAAAGGCCCUGCUUUUGUGGGGUGCUCGAGUGGCGAACGGGUGAGUAACACGUGAGUAACCUGCCCUUGACUUUGGGAUAACUUCAGGAAACUGGGGAUAAUACCGGAUAGGAGCUCCUGCUGCAUGGUGGGGGUUGGAAAGUUUCGGCGGUUGGGGAUGGACUCGCGGCUUAUCAGCUUGUUGGUGGGGUAGUGGCUUACCAAGGCUUUGACGGGUAGCCGGCCUGAGAGGGUGAACGGCCACAAUGGGACUGAGAUACGGCCCAGACUCGUAUGGGCGGCAGCAGUGGGGAAUAUUGCACAAUGGGCGGAAGCCUGAUGCAGCAACGCCGCGUGCGGGAUGACGGCCUUCGGGUUGUAAACCGCUUUCGCCUGUGACGAAGCGUGAGUGACGGUAAUGGGUAAAGAAGCACCGGCUAACUACGUG
rnacentral:rRNA from 1 species